UACGUAGGGUGCAAGCGUUGUCCGGAAUUAUUGGGCGUAAAGAGCUCGUAGGCGGUUUGUCGCGUCGAAUGUGAAACCCGGGGCUCAACCCCGGGCCUGCAUUCGAUACGGGCAGACUAGAGUUCGGUAGGGGAGUCUGGAAUUCCUGGUGUAGCGGUGAAAUGCGCAGAUAUCAGGAGGAACACCGGUGGCGAAGGCGGUGGUCUGGGCCGGAACUGACGCUGAGGAGCGAAAGCGUGGGGAGCGAACAGG
rnacentral:rRNA from 1 species